UCCCCGCUCCCGUCCCGACGAAUAUUCCAGGCCGGGCCGCGCGGGUGGGCGGCGAGGGGGGAAACCGUAGUGGGGGCUUUCGGACCCGUCUCCUUCUCCGAGCCUUCCACGUCCUUCGCGGGUCGGCGCCGCGCUUCCCUCCCCUCCCCCCCCCCGAUUCUCCUUCCUCGCUUUUUCCCCCUUCUCUCCCCUCUCCCCGGGGGCGGCCGCGUUCCCCGCUUCCCCUCCGCCGCCCCCGUGCUCCCCGCAGCGCGGCGGGGGUUCGCGCCGCCCCUCGCGGCCCUCAGCGCCGCCUCCCGCGCGGCUCUCCCUCCUUCCCUCCCCUCCUCCGCUCCUCUCCUCUCCCCAGGUGCCGCCGCUGUCCCCCGCCUCGUUCUGCUCAUCUCCGGCCCGGGAGCCGUUGGGGCAUGUAGCCCGUGGCGGCGGUGGAGCCGGCCGGGUGCGGGGAGCUCCGUGUCGGAGUCUCUCGGCUCCCUUUAAUCAUGGCGAUUUAAAUUUCCCUUUUACUGCCGUAAAAUUAACCCCGAGAUACGGCGCGGAGCCGUGUAGUAUUGCGUGCCGACACUAGGGGUGUCUCCUGCCUGCCGCCGCUGCCAAGAAAUCAACGCCCUGUUUUAACAAACACGUAUUCUAGCCCAAAUUCUCCUCUCCCGGGCUGUGGCAGCGUUCUGGCGUUGCAGUUGCAGGACUGCUGGUGGCUUAAGCUUUUCCAUUCUUCCCUCCCCAAGAGCGAGGCCAGCUGUCUGUCACCGCCCCGCAGGGCCCAGCAGCUCAGAAGGGGCUCUUCUCUUGUUUUUAAGCGGGGGUUUGUGUUCUCUGCCUUAAAAACUGAGCUACGUGGCACGCUCAUUGAGCUUCAGUGGCUGUUACAUGUGAAUUUGAAGAAGCGGAGGCUGGGUUUGUUGUCAGCUGUGGCCUAAAACAGUGUGAGUAACGAAUGGCUACAUGCCCUCCUUGGAAGGCAGAGAAGGAGAAUUAGUGAGGUUAGAAGCUUAAAAGAACCAGAGAGUUGAAAUUAUAAACAAUACUGCGGUUGUGGUUCUGCUGAUGGUGCUGUGAAGAUCCAGGUGAACACUUGCCACCUUCCAGGCACCAGCUGAGCUCAUGCUGCCAUUUGCUGGGGCUUCUGAGGAAAUCUUGCUCUCCAGGACUUGCCUGAUGCCAGCAUGCAUAAAAGGAAAGGAAAUGUUAUUUGGCAGUGAUGCCCAUGAGUGUAUUAGUAGCCUGUAAGGAAUCGGACUUCUGUGUAUGAUAACUUCCAUUUUUUUCCUUUGUUUUGCCUUAAAUGAAGCUGCUGUGACAUCUCCUGCUGAUAUUUAAUCAUACUGCUUAUUACUUUGGCUUCUUGAACAGUAUCUCUUUUUAAUCAAUCAACUGCCACGUGCAAAUGCUGAUGAAUGAAAAAGAUAUUCCAGAUGUUACUUUGGUCAGCAAAGGUGCAUCUUUGCAAGAACAAGCAAUGUGGAGAGCACUGACUGUGACUGCACCAGUAUCAUUUCUGGUAUGAUUGUAGAUGCCUGGAGAAAAUCACGUGAAAACUAAGCAGUUGUCACAUCAAUGUGUUUUUUAAUACUUUUUACCACAGGCAUCGUUUUAGUUGCUGUUCUUAGUGUUGUUACCCUGUGGGUAUUCUCAUUGAAAGCAUUUGCUUUAAAUAGCAAAACAGGGCAGAUCUUGAUUCAGUCUUUAUUUAAUUUCAGUAUAGCAAUCUUAUUUUUGUAGUUCAAAGUUCUUUGCUUUUUCUUCUGUGUUGUUACAGGGCCGGGGGGCUGACGGUUGUAGUGCAGAGCAAAAGGUGAACAUGUUCAUAGGAGGUAGCUUAAGACAUAACAUUGACAUCUAGUAAGUAAAAGAAUGUAGGUCUGGAUAUUUUGGUAUAGCUAGUUCAAAAUCCUACCAAGCAGAGAGCAGAGUAUGAUACUUCCAUUACAUAACAGUAGAAGUGUUGCUGUAUUCUGUCAGAGUUGACUUAGUAAAUACUGUUCCUAGAAAAAUGUAUUAUGAGAAGGUAAAUAGAUAGAUGCUAAUAAACAAUCUUGGGUUUAGUUAGAUUUGUUUUGUUGGGGUCACCUGUGUUCAAACAGAGGGGACUUCACAGUGGCCUGUCUGAUUGAUUCAUAUAUCUAGCUCUUGAGCUUUAUGGUUGUAGGACAGAAAUAUGCAGGAGUCACCCAAAUGGUGUUAUAUAAUGCAUCUUUCUAGCAAGCUGAGAGAGUCUUUGGGAAAUGAAAGGAGCCAGUCUGAAUUUGGACACUGCUGUUGCUAGUCUCUGCUUAGAAGUGACUUUCUUCACUUGAGCAGUGUUGGUGCUUCUGGCACUUGAGCAUCCUUUCCAGAUGAAGCCAUUCAUUCCCAGGCUGAUGUAAAAUGGUGUUUCUGAAUGACUGAAGCCAAGAACCACCAAAACAUUUCUUUCAGAAAUAAAAACAAAACAAACACCAUGAGGCUGUCUUGAGUGCUUCUGUACUGUUUUUCAGGGAGGUUGCUAAAUAAGCCAUUAGCUGAAAGAAAAAACAAAACAAGAGUUAUUCUGCUACCAAAUCACAGUUUGACUGCUGUAAUUCUAAACUCUCAGGAAGUCAUUUCAGCUUUGCCUGCUGCCUUAGUCCAGGUGAUACGGACUGAGAAGUGUUCAGUAUUCCCUCACAUUACAUCUGACAGCAAAAUAGAAGUCUGCUGCCAAACAGGAACUAACCAAUCUAGGAUCCAACAUGUAAAAGUGUGUGUAGGUCUUUAGAAAGUAGAGCAUUUGGGGUAGGCUUACUUCAGGCAUUCUACUUAAUAUAUGAUUUUGGUUUAGAAAUAAAUUUUCAGGUCUAUAGUUUUGAAGCCAGUUUGAAUAUUUAAGUUUACUAAGGUCUGUGAUCUACAGAGGAACAUGGGGAAUGUUGAUGAAUGAGGAAAGAAACUUUUAAAAACAAUUAUAAUGUUCCAUUGAUGGAGUAAAGGUGGAAUUUUGUGUUUAUGCAGUGGAAGAUGUGUUUAGGAGGGAGUAAAAACUGAGUCAUUUAAGGGAAAAUGAUGUGUGAUGGGAGUGCCUUGGGAUCUUUAUUUAUCUUCCAAGGUAUUUGACAUAGCCCUGAAAGAGAAGCUUUGAGGGGGUGAGAUUAACAACAUCUAAAUUAGGAUUUCUAUAGGUAUGCUCAAGAAGAUGAGGCUGUCCAAUUUGCUUAGUGACACUUUUUCCUAUUUUUGCACCCUUUUCUUCUUCUAACUUAUGUUUUUCUCUUUUCCUAAGCUUGUUUAUUCCUACAGAAAGGCCACAAAAGCAGAGGGAGCUGUUUGUUCCCAUGCUUCCUAUAUGUUAGUUCUUUCCCAGAAUCACCAUCAGGAAUAGGGAAGGUGCUCCUGUGGCCCUAUCACAGUUAAACUCUGCUUCUGGAGGAGCAAAUGGUAAAAGGGUGGGAGAGUAAAGAUUGAAGUGAUGGGGGAAGAAUGAUGUAAGGCCUUGGUCUACAUCGGGACAGAGGAGUGGAAAGUGCUUGUGCUGUGCAGCUGUAUGUUGCAAGAAAAUAAAUGUCUCAUUUUUACUUUCAUAUUCCUAUUAAAACAAGAAGAAAAUUCUGACUCCUUACCUCUGUAAAUGGUAAAAGUCUUACUGACUGACUUGAUUAUGUAAAUUGCUGCUACAUGUUCUUUCUUUCCCCAAAACCAUGAGCACUUAGCUUGCUGUGCUGUCAUGAGGCUGGUAAAUACUGCCCUUGUUCUACCAAUGAAAAAUUUUGAGAUUAGGGAAAACAACUUACCCAAGGCUUUUUGUUCCGUAGAAGUUAACUGGGUGUGAUCUGAGAAAUACAGAAUGUGUUUGUAAAUCUGAAAAUAAAUAUUAAGUGUGAAUCAGAUGAAUGCUCACAGUUUUGAGGUCUUGGGGUUAAUGGUUUAGUUUGCAUGCAUCCACCUGGCAGCAUGGUGUCUCUUCAGGCACUGGAUGGUAUGCUGUACCUAAAAAGCUUAGUCGUGCACUGCCUUCUUUCAGCUUCUUUGUAGCACUGUGUAGCACCAUUUAGAGAGGCUUCUUUCAGAAAUCAGACCUGGGAACUGCCUGCUAUAUCCAAUGAAAGCUAUCCAGCAAGAGAGGCUUGGAACUCUCUGUCUUGUCUGUAACUUGGCAUUUACAAGCUCUGUUGACACUCUGUUCCACAAGUAAUGAAGAAACCCUAAUGAUAUAAAUAAUACUUAGCUAUGUUAAAGAAGUCUUAGAAAUCUUUUAGAUGCUUUGGAUUAAAGGACAGCAUUGCUCAGGAAGUGUCAACAAAAAUCUUGUCUUCCAAGCUGUAAACGGGUUAUGAGAGCUAAUAGACUCAGGUGAAUGUUUGCGGAGUCUGUGUGGAUGGACACUUCUAAGCAAACUGCUAAGGCAAAGAACCGGAACUCCCCCAGUAAGCUGAUACUGUGCCUUUAAAAAGCUUCUGUAGUCAGCCUGAAGAUCACAAGCACAAUUAUAUCAUUACCUAAGUAAGUUAAAGUUGGAAAUAAAAAUGUAUUAAGACAUUUGUUGGCUAAAGAACUUCAGCCAGAUUUUGGGAGGAAGGGCUGUGAUGGGAUGCGGUAGGAUAAGAGAUGGAAAGCCCAGAAAUGAAGACCAGGAAUAUGCUUUUAUGAAGAACCCAGCUACCAGCUAGAGAAGUAGAAUUCAGCUGUGAUUUGCACAAAAAUAUCAUCUUAGUACAUUCCCCAACUAUUAAAGGUUUAAGGAUAGAGUCAUAGAAUUGCUAAGGUUGGAAAAGACCUAUGAGAUCAUAUAGUCCAAAUGUCAACCCACCCCCAGCGUGCCCAAUAAACCGUGUCCCUCAGUGCCAUGUCUGCCCUUUUCUCAACUGCCUGCAGGGAUGGUGACUCCACCACCCCCUGGGCAGCCUGUGCCACUGCCUCACCACUCUUUCUGACAUGAUCUUUUUCCUAAUAUCCAACCUGAACCUCUUCUGGCACAACUUGAGGCUAUCGCCUCCUGUCCUACCCUUACUGUAAGAAGCUUUUUACUUAUAUCCAAUCUAAAUCUCCCCUCUUCUAGUUUGAAACCGUUUUCCCAAAUUUGAUUUACUGCUGAGCCACUGCUUAGCAGGCCUGGUGUCUGAGCGGUGUUGUUGCUACUGAGUCAGUGCUGAUAACACUGAAAGAGCACUUGACAGUUUUCACAUGUCAAAGCUUGAUUGCCUGUAGUUCUGCUAACCUGAAAAAAAUCUGUAUGAAUUAAACAGACUUGAUUUCUAUAUUUGAUCUCAGUUUAUUAUCUUAGCACACUAAUCACUGUAGUAAAUCAGGAUAUCUAAAUGAAAUGGCAGUUCAUUACAUGUUGUUAAACUGUUUUUUCAGGAGUUGUAAGAAAAGUUCAGGUAGUUUUCCCUGAAGUACUUUGCUCAAAAUGUGGUUUGACUCCUUCAGUAAUUGUACAGCUGGAGGCAUUUGCACAGGCACCACUGCUGUUGUUUUGAUGUCAGGCAGUGUACUGAAAAGUCUCGUUAGUGACAAAAAAACAUUCAUAAAGUAUGGAAAGUUAAUAACUUUGAAUCUUAUGUAUGAACGUUUGAGUGCAGUUCUAGUGUUGCUAGAUCUGAGUUUGUCCAGAAUUCAACUGUGAAACGUGCUCUUUUGAGAGGCCUGAGAUAGCUAGAAGGUUACAUUUCCUUUGCUGAUGAGAAAACAAAGAGUCAUGUGAGAGGAAGGGCCUAAAAUUGACAGGAAGUAGAAGAUGAUGGUUUUUAAUCCAUAGGUGUUGUAUGUAAUAACAAAGUGCUGGAAUGUUCCGUAAUAGGAUGCAGAGUAGAUAAGGAUUCCCAAAGAAUUGAGAAAAGUUGAUUUGAGUGACAGGUGAAGGGAUUUUUAACAGCAGUUUUCUUGUGGAUUAUUUCUCAGGGGUGUCAUUUAGCAUCUGUGCUGUUGUUUUGUCAAGUCAAUGAACCCAUGUUUCCCAGCAUCUCUCAAAACAGCACUAAAAAUACUCAUCUUAAAAUUGCAUUUGAUUUACAGACUGGUGUACAAAUGUAUGUGUAUCAUAUGCCUCUGAGUUUGCAAGCUGUAAACUUCAGAAAGCUUAGCCUAUGAGAAGGUGAGGUGGGAAGCUGCAGAAAGGCAGCAGUAGCCUGUGGGCUGUGGGUAGAUUGUGUAUGCAGGCACAGUUGUGUCAAAGCCUUUGGUGGAUGGGUGCAGUGACUGGGGCUGUGCCUUGAAGUGGGAUGACUGGAUUCUGGGUUGUGAGCCUCCAGAGCAGCUGGAAUUCCCUGGGGCUGUGCAGGGGUGCAGCUACUGGGCUUAUUUUGGGAGGCUGUGGACCCUGUCAAUAGCAGUAAUUCUUUCAAUGCUGCUUUGUGUGUACUGUCAGGCUUGCUUUUAUGUACAUUUAAUGUAAAUUUACUGCUCUUCUUGGGCCAGUUGAUUUUAACCUUAUUGCUAAUUAGAACAAUUAAUAAGCUUUGAUUUCUGAAAGGAUGAAGAGGAAUUUGUUCUUCAGCACGUGCUAUGAAUCUUACAAAAAAUGCAAGCCAGAGUAAGUUAGAUUUUGGAUAGUUGUUCAAAUAUCUGAUAUCUGUUACUGUCUAAAAACUACCAAAACUGGGUUUGAAUUUUAAUUCUAUCUUUUGAGUAUCCUCCCUCUAUAAACUUGUAGUAAAAAUGCUACAUGUCUGUAUUGGCUACUGAGUGCUAAAUAUUUGCACCUAAACUACUGCUUUCAAUUGCAUUUGUCUAUGUCACAUAACCAACUCCUGGGUGGGUGUCACCUCACCACCGAGAUGUGGAAGAAGUCAGCAUUUCCUCUGUCAUACAAGUCGUAUGAAGAAAACUGUUCAAGGCUUUGCAAUAUUUCUUAGCAGUAAGAAGGCGAAUUGAAAGCAGCGUGGCAUUUUUGUGUUUUGCUGUUUGUCAGUUUGCAUUCCUCUGAUGUGAAAGUCUGUGAUCAUAACUGGAAGGCUUUGGAAGCUUGCAUGGCAUCAUCUUCACCAGUAGCAGUGUUAGAAAUUUGGACUGUCCCUUUAGAAUUGUAAUGCCCAAGAUACCUUUUAAUGUAUUAUAAAAUUAUUGGUAUUUUAAUUAAAAUGGGUGUGUUUUGGAUAGCUGUGUUGGAAGGGCCUGUUUUCAAACCAUGACUCAUCUUUCUUCUUGACUGAAUAAAUUCUUCACACAUCCCUCGGUGUCAUAAACCAAACCAGAGCUUGUUAAAAUGUCUCAAUAUCUGUCAGCUGUAAGUUCUGAUUAAAUUAUUUUCGUUUUUGGGGAAAAGAGGAGCUGAGUAUUAAGAUUAAUAUCAACUAUUAGACAUGGUUAAGAAUACCAGAGUACAAUAUCUAUUUUUCAGAUUCUGUAUCUAUGCAACCACUUCCCUUCAGCACAGCCUGCCUCUUCCUUAGCUUUGCACAUCCUGUCCAGUUUAGCAUCUUUGGCUCCUUCAGUUUUUGUUCUUGUCAGUUCAUGACAUCGAGUCCCAUUUUUUAACAACUGUCUCAGUUUCUAGAUGCGUGUCCUUGACACAGUUCUUUGUAACAUUUUCAGGCCUUUUUGUGAUAGAUCACGAGGGAAGUUCUAUUUGUUACCUACUUUUCUUUAUGAUCUUUUUUGAAGUGCUCUUUCCAUUCUGGCUCUAGUUGCUGGCCAGCCGUAAGACUCUUAUCUCCCUUCUCUUAAAUUCAGACUUCCCUUUUUUGCACUAAGUGGUAUCAAACUCUUUAUAAGCUGCUUACAUGAGGAGGAGGAGCUGGUGACAGCAUCUAUUCAUGCGACUUGUUUCAGUGCUCUUCCAGUACUCUAUACUCAAGUAAGUACUGUGCAUUGACCUGUGUGACUUUCUUGAAACUUAGACUGUGUGAAUUGAUGAUACUCCCCAAUUGACACUUAAACUUCUCCACUAAAGGACAUUUGACUCUUUUGAACUGUCACUGUUGACUGCAUCAGCUUUCUUUUCCUGCUAGGCCAUUUCAGAUCCAUUUAAAAAUAUCCAUGCAACUGUUCCUAUAGCCUUAACCUUUGUGAUGAGCACACUGCUGAAUAAUCUGUUAAAAUCUAGCAACUUAGGAGAAUCAGUUGGUAGAGGGAGAUGCACUGGUCACAUUGCUUUGAGUGUUCCUAACCUUUAGAAGGUAAUUACAGUCAACUGUAAUACAUAAUAAUAGUAUUUAUACUAAUUGAUACUAUUACAUGAUGUAGUACACAAUGUUAUCUUGAUUUCUUGUAAUAUAGAAUGUGUCUUUGCUACUUCUUUUUCCUUUCCAAAUACUUCCUGCAACAGGACAGUGAAUGUUGUCUAACCCAUCUUCCCCCCAUAAAGCAGCUGUGGUGACUGUUUUUCUGGUACUAAUCUUCUGUUCUUCACUUGCACAGUUCAAUUAACUGUUUAUGGUAAGGGAAAUUUACCAGAUAAUUCUGGAGCAAAUAGAUUAGUUUAUAUUUUCCUUUGCUGUUAGAUGAUGACGGGCUCUGUUUGAUUUCCAGCUGGGUUCUCAUCUGUUAUAUUUGCCUGAAUCUAAUACAUACCUCAGAUACAUCUGUAUGUUCCUAUGCAGGCCUUGUUGCCUUUUCAUGCUGAAGUUAGGAAAAGAUUUGUUUUUCCUACUGGGUGUUGCCUGACUGCUAUUGCUCAUUUGGUGCUUUUGGAAAACCCUCUGCAAAGAGAUGUAGUAUUUCUCCUUUCUAAUGCUAGCAGCUUUGGUAUUAGCUGUGUGAAACUGAUCUAGUGAUUAUCAGUUUUCUUGCUGCCUGUUCUCUCUUUCAGUGCUAUAUCUGAUUUUGGUGCAAGCAAACUAAGGAAGUUCAGAGGCUUCAGAAGGCAGCCACUGUUAGCUUUGCUCACUUUUGUAUUGUCACAGCUCAUGCUUUGAAGAGACAGGGUUCUUCAUUCUACAGGUAAUGCAAAUGCUUACCUUUAAGUUUUUUCCAAAAUGUUUCAGAAAUCAAUUUAAAUUUCCAAGCAGAGUAACAAGUAAUCAUAAUUUCCAUAACACGCUAAAGCAUAUUUACAUGCAUUGCAGUGAGAAGACAAACUAUCUUUACACCCCUCUGGGCUCAGUGACAAUAGUGUUUGGCUGGAAGCACUAUAGAGAAUAUAUAUGCAUUAUUUUUUUAUUUUAACUUUGGAGGGAUGCAUUGCAAUAAAUUGAGUUCCUGCUCAGUUGCUCAGGAGAGCUCUUUGCUGAAGCUCCCUCAUUUAUCCUGUUUUUAUGGUAUCUGGAAGUGCCGGUGAUUAAAUUGGCAUACUUGAAAGCAGCCUUGUGAGAGUUUCUAUGUAGAGCAAAUCAGAGUUCAGUAUGGCUGUAGGUCAAAUGAAUAUCUUUUAAUAAAGUAACUCUUCCUAUUUUUAUGUAGGUCAGCCAAGGGUUAGUUCUCAGUUUGGUUGGACUGCUGUUCCAUGGCUUUGUAUUGGCGUGGAAGCUUUGAACACUGUUUUCUGAGCACUUCAGACAAAAACUUCUACCUCCAAUUUGUUGCAGAGAAAGGGAGAAGCCAAGGGAGCCUUGAGAGCCUGCUCAGUAUUUUACUGGUAAAACUGGUGGUUUGACUCAUGGUAGUUUCGUGUUUCAUCAUUUGACAGCCUGUGAGAUGUUAGAUAGUGGCUUAAGCAUGAACUGUCUGUCCUAAGUUCUCCUAGAUUUUUGGUGAUGCUUGCAUGCGUUGCCUUAAUGCUGGAUGAGGUUUGGUUUUCUUUGCUCUUUGGAUUUGGAAAAAUAAAGCAAUCUGUAGUUGCUUUUCUUUCACACAGCCACACACUGCUUCCAGUUGCUUGGGUUUUUAAUGCUGAUAUUUAUCAGUGAAAAGAGAACAUUCCUGAUUAUUGAUCAGCCUUAAGCAAAAGAUUUUAAAUGGCUGUUAUUGCCAAUUUGUAUCCCCUAAUGUCUCUAAGAUCAGUGUAAUAUGUUUGGGGUUUUUUUGUUUCUUUUUUCAGUUCUCCCCUCAAGUGCAAGUUGUUCUUGCUGUGCAAGGAAUUCUUGAUCUGUUGGAUGCCUUGCUCUCAUUUCUUUAAGAUGCUGAUCCUUAACUCUGAUAAUGUAAUACCAUAGUUGUUGGUUACAAUCUUCAAUCAUGCUUUCUACUUUUUCUGCAUAGGAAAAAGAUUAUUGGCUUCCUUGAGAUGCUCUAUAAAACUUUUCAACUCCACUUUUGUUAUUCAGAAAGGUCAGUGGAGUUUUUAAGCUUACAUCACCUGUAUGUCUGGUAGCUGGGUUUGUACUUGGGCUACUGAUCAGGCAGCACAGUGUUGUUCUUGUUGUCACUAGCAUAUGGCACAAGGUGUCUGUCCAUGUUAAGGCAGUGCUUUGGGGUGGCUUGGUUAGGCAGCUCAUUGCGUUCAUCUUGUGAGUCCCCAGAGAAGUCUGCUGUGGUCUCCUCUUUAGCCAGGGACACCGAAUGAACUUCACAGAAGAGCUUUGUGUGCUUGUUUUCUCUGCAGUAAUAUUCCUGAACAGGCAGGACUGUUAAUGCUGUUCUGUCACAACAGGUUUGCUGUUUCUGACCAUCUCUCUUAGAGCUACCGAGAAUGUCUGAGUAAGGCUUAUGCAAUUGUAGUGGGGGCUGGGAUGCUAUCUUGAUGCUGUCUUUUUUUGGUCUGUGUCUUAAGACUUUACUUUGAAGAGUGAAGACUUUACUUUAAAGAGUGAUCGAUGCCAGGUUUCUGAACGUGCAGUAACCUAGAAUAUUGCUUGAGAGUACAGACCCCCAACAGUUUUACAGAUAGCACAAAUUUGAUUUAUGUGGUUUGAAAACAGAGAUUGUUCCUUGUGAAAAAUCAUUUCACUUGAGACCACAUCUUACUUGUCACUGGGAAUUACCUCUAUUUGCCAAGAGUUUUCAGGCCUUCUAAUGGCUUAAAUAGUUGUGAAGAGCCAGUGACAACAUGGCACAUACCUGAUAAGUUCUUCCAUAUUUUGGGCUUGAACUUGUGUGCCUGGAAGUUCUCUGCUGUUGCCAGUUACACUAGUAAACCAAGUAAGAGGUUUUAUGGGUGAAACCAGUGUGUGAAUGUAAAUGGAGCAAUUAAAUUACUGCCUUGUAAAUUUUUUGUGACUUAUCUUGAAGGUACAGAGAACCAUCUUGGCUUCCUAACGUGUGCUCACUUGCAUGAGAACUUCAGUGCAUUGCUGACAGAACCUUAAUCUACAAAAGUUACUUCAGCAUCUUUCUGAGAAACUGUCCCGUCCUUGGCUUUUGGAGAGUCAUUAUUCAUUUAUGCUUGGCAAAUUAUAGCACUCGGGGAAUUUUCAAUACUCAUGCAAGCUUUAGAAAUGCCAGCUCUGCAGCGAUUGCGUAGAUAGGGUUGUGUCCUCCCAGCAGCCGUAGCUGGGAUCUGCCAAAAGUGAAGUCGGCCCAUGGCUCACAGGGAAUGGUGCCUUAGCUCCCAAAGUUACCACAUCUGUUCCUGACACUGUUGUCUCUGAAGUUUUAUUUGCAGGUUGCAGUAUUUACGCAGGUUUUGGCAGUGAUGUCUUGCUAUUUCUUAUGGAAGUUUGUGGUUUUUCAUGCAUAUGAGUGCAGAUAAUAAGGAUUAUUUAUUUCUUUUCUGAACAUGGUACAAUCUUGCCUCUUCCUCACCUUGUUUUAAAGACUGCGCUGUGUUUGUCUCCAGUGCUGCUAAAUAUCUCUCUACUUGACAUCUUACAAGUACUGUCAGGGAAUUCAUCAAAUGAGACAGUAAACUUGAAUAUUCAAAACACAUUACAGAUACAACAAUCAAGUUACAGUAGGUUCAAAGCAACCCAAUUAUCCUUUCUGCUUUUAUACCAUGUCCAACCUGCCAAAGGUGCCUUGGGGAGUAGGCACCUAUCCCAUGCAUGGUGUUGGUGAUGCUAACUGUACCCUUGGACUUCAUGGCUCCUUUUCACACACAGACAUGGCAAAAGGACUUUGCAGUAAAGCUGUUUUCUGUCUCUAUUCUUCCUACUUUGCAAACUGUUCCCUGGUAUUUCUCAUGUCCUUAGGAAUUGGUCUAUCUCAGGUAAUGGCUUUUUUCUUGCAGACACCUUUAGUUUAUCUGCAGCUGAGCAAAUGCACUGUGGUGUGUGUAUGGUACAGACUUGUGAUUAAAUCACGUACUUCAUUUUACCUUCAAGAUCAUGAAACCUUUUAUUUCUUCUGAAAGCUCUACAGUUGUAACUGAUUUCAGAUUGGAAAGGCUAUGGCAUCAAUUCAUACAAAUACGCAUCACAGUUGCUGUCACAACUGGGCAGAUUUUACAGCGUUGAUCUUUGAUCCUCAAUGCUUCAAAACAUUAAAAUCUAAAACAAGUGGUUUUGUUCCGUUUGAGUACAUGCACUUUUAUUUCUGCCUUUCCUGUGAUAGUAAUUAAGUCAAAGGGCACACUGAAGAUACUGAAUUUUUAUAACCGUGCCCCUGUUUCCUUUAGCUUUCCUGUCUGAUAGAGGUUUUGGCAAGAGUAACUUUCUCUGAUUUCACUUCUUGCUUCAUUGGCUUAGGGCUUCCCUAUGAUAUCCUAGAAUAGAUAUUUGACUGUGAUGGCCUUAAGCCAUUAAUAACUCAUUUUGGAGGAGACCCCUGAACAGCGUAGGCUUUAAAUAAAGCAUAGCCCAAGUGACUGGCCUGCUGCCAGCCAGAGGACAAGUGGCUUCCCUUGAAAUGCCUGACAGAGCUCGGGCACAGCCCUGACUGCAUUAGGUGGUGACUAAGGAGGGCUGGGCAGGCUCUGCCAGAGACAUGUGCAGCCUUCCUCACCUCCUGCACCUUGGGCUGAGGGGCCAUGUGGUUCAGCCUGGUACUGACCAGGGCAGACGCUUCUCAGGACUCAUCACUUUUUCUGCUUCCAACAGAUCUAAUAAACAUAUCCAAAAUACCUUUUUCAUAAUAUGUCUUUUUAAAUGUGUCAGAGUGAGCUCAGACACUUUUUGCAUACUUGCAAAGAACAACAAUGCCAGGAUUCUGUAACUGCUUUAGCCUGACUUGAUCCCUGCAGUAAUCCCCAAUCCGGCAAUCCCCUUUGCCUUGCUUCAUUAUCUCUGAUGUCUGCAAUUUAAAUGUCAUGCUCAAGAAUUAGAUAUUUAUCAUUUUUGAGUUCCUUCAGUACUGAAGGACAUCGAGUGCUCUCUUCAGAGGCAGGAUUAAUGAAUGGAGGCUAUUUUACAAACAACAGAUUUACAGUUCGAAAUCUUCCAGAGGUAAGUUGAAACAAGCUGCAUCUUUUCCUGCCAGUGUGCUUUUUUGACUACAAAGUGUUUGUAGACUUUCUUGACACUUGCUCUUGGUUAGCACUAGCAUGAGCUGUAAGGCCUGUCCCUUGCAAGCAGUCUUCCCCUUUGAGUUAAGAGGAUGAAAACUAAGCACAGAAAGUUCAGUGGCUUUUCUCAAUUCUGAUAAACCUUCCAAGCAGCUGAAAUGAAAGUGUUGGGUCAAGUAAUAACAUGGCUAUGAGAAAUGAUGGCUUACACUUGCUGGAUGUACAGUUGGCCACAGCUUAUGCUGAAGUCCUAGAAUCAAGAUUGUAGCAAAAUAUGGUGGUGGAAUGGAAGAGUGUAGUGUAACUUUUUUCUUCUUUUUAUAACAUUUUAUUUUCAAAUGGAACUAGUAUUUCAUAUGACAAAACCUCUCGAUUAUAUCCAUCUCUUGUAGACUGGGGGACGGAAAAGGUUGUUAGAUUCUAAAGCACUGGAUUGGUGAGUUAAUAUCUGAGCCAUUGGAAACAUUUAUCAGCAUUUUCCAUAACUGUAGAGUCAGCAUCUGAACAUUUGUGUUAGUUGAAUAAAAAGCGAAGGAGAACAUACUGCCUUUACCUCAGCAGGUUUAAAGUGAAAACAUUAGCUCUUUUUUGCAUUAAGAUGGAAGAACAACAUGAUAGCAGUUCUUGCUUUGUUUUUCUUUAUUGUGGGAUGCGUGUGGCUUAGUGUCCUCAACGUGAGAAGCUUCAAGAACUUGUGCUGCAGCUGAGUCAAAGAAGUUAAAAUUGAUAGAGAAAUUCCUAAACAAAAUAACUCUUGUAGUAGAAUAAGAUACAGAAUACAGAAUGCCUUUCUGUAACUUUUUCUUCUUCAUGGACUUCUCCUAGUGACCCGCACUCAUAAUUUGGAAAACAAAUGUAUUGUAAAAGCAGUAACUUAAAAGCAAGUCACUGCUAAAGUCUAAUCUUUGUGUUUUAAUGCUUAGGAUACAUCCUAAAAUUAGGUUUUAAAUCCAUUCCUGGUCUCUGUAUACCUAGAAAACUGACAUAACAUCUCAUAGGAUGUGCUAACUAAAUACCAAGGUUUACAGUCAAAACAUGAACAUCGUAGUUGAUUUCUGUAGAUGCUGUUUAUGUUCAAAGGUCCAGGAGAAAAAUAUCUCCAGUUGCUGGAAUUUGCACCUCAUUUCUGCUUGAGUAAAGAAGAAAGGAACAAAUGGUUCACGGUCCCAUAAAAAUCCCGUUUGUUUUGCUAACGUAAUCUUACAAGAUUUAUUUGAGAAAUAUUCCAUUCUGUUUCUUUCAUGACUGCAGUUCUGUAAAUUCAAGAUUUAAUGGCAACUCCAGAUGUUGGAAUUUUGUGAAUAAUAUUUUUUUCAAUUUUAGUGGAAACUUUAUCCAGAGAAGAGCAAGAGAGCGUAAUUUUUAAGUAGCAGCUGAAUGCCUCAGCCCUUUACUGGAGUCUGUGCUAGUAACCUGGUACCGUUACUGCUGCUUUUAUGGCUUUCUUCCUCGACCCUUCCUCUUGCCCCUCAAGUUUUUCUGUAGUUCCUUGGAUACCUUUUGAGAAUUUGUUGCUUGUGCUUCCUUGCUGUUUCGUUCCUGCUGUUGCUUACAUGGAUAACACUGAAGUGUAACGUGGAGAUCAGAUUUGACAUCCAAACUGCACAAGAUAAAUGAGGUGGUUCCCAGAUUUCAGAUGCUGUAUUGGAAUUUUGGACAGACAGGAUGAUGGUCAUGAAUAUAUACAGCUAUAUAUGAAUGAGUGGGACACAAGCAGAGCUGAAGCUCUAAAAAUACUAAUUCAUAUGAUGGCUCAGUAGGCUCAAUGAUCUUCUGAGUUGGAUUCAGCUUGGAAGUAAUGCACCUUAAACUUAGGUUGUACCCUCUUAGUUCUUUCUGUGGUCAGACUCUUUGAAAUGCGGCUGAAAACUUGGGCUAGACACUGCAGCAAUUGAGUUGCUCCAACUUCUGUGCGCCUCGUUGAGCCAUCUGAGUUCUUGGCUUCACUUAAUCCUUUAGAAUCACAGCAUCUAACUGACAUGAGGGUGGUUGUGAGGACAUCGGGGUGGAUUUAUUUCACUGUGGGAGAAGUUUUGUGCUGGACAGCCUCAAUUCUGAGGAGUGAGUGUUUGGGGAGUUGCAGUGGGUGUUGGGUAUACAUCUGUGGGAAGCAAGUCCUUUCUAUUUACUCAAAGCAAGUACUGUGAAGCAGUGCAAGAAGUUAACUUCUACAUUUUGGCAGUUAGUCUGCACUAUUAUCAGCUCUUAAUUUUAGUUUAGUCAUUGUUUGCUGGUAACUAUGCUGUGAUAUCCUUAAAUAGAAUUCUUUCCUUAGUGGCUGCAAUGAAAAGCUUAAAAGCAGCCUGAUUGCCCUUUGAGUUAAACACAAAUGCUGUAUUGCUAGUGAUCUUAUCUACAGUGACAUCUUCACAAGUUUGCUUGUCAUCAUCAGUGAGGUGCUUUGUUUCAGUUCAUUGACCUUCAUGGUAUUACAGGCUGCUCUCUGGCUGUGACUCUACUUUUCUGGAUUGAAGAAUUUGUUUUAAAACCAACAACAAGGAAAACAAACAAAAAAGCAAACAAAGAAAAACCUUGCAAGCCUUAUGAGUUUGAUUUCAAACAGCAUAUUCAUGGUGCUUCUUGAUCAGCACGGCUGGAGAUGUUCUUGCUGCUUUUUUUCCAGUGGUGUGUCAUUCCUGCAUGACUUGCUUCAAGCCAUAUUUGUUGUGGUAUCUACAGAAACUUUGGGCAGGUCUUUUAUCUGUGCUCUGGUAAACUCCUUGUAGGUUUUAAUUGCACCAGUAAGUCACGUAUUAAAAGUACAAAUUACAGUUGGUGAGAUAUUGGAAUUUGUUUUUGACCAUGCAUUCAGAGAGUUGAGUAUUAAUGUGGCUCAAAGCCUCCUGGCUUUGCUCUGAAACCUGUGUAAACAAAUGUUUAAGCAACUAUGGAUGUGUCUGUGUGGCAUGUUCUAUUUAUGCAGAAGUUUUUGCAGCCUUCAUAAUAAAUACUGUCCAUAAUUUAGCUUGCCAAUUUCCCUGUUAAUGAAGAAUAUGGAAUGAACCUACAGAACAGCCAAAGCUCUCAUAACUCAUUAGUGAUCACUUACCAAAACAAACAAGCAAAAAAGCCCAACACCAAGCUGACAGUUCUUCAGUGUUAAACCUUUGGAAGCAGCAAUGCAUGGAAAACAAGAUGUAAGGAAGAAUUGUCUGCAGCAGGUAAUUUUACUAAUUGCUAACUUUGGUGCUAUGAAGAAUGAGAUAGAAACAUUUUGCAUGUUUGUGGAGGCUUUUUAAAUGCUCACUGCAAGACUGCUGUCUUACCUUAGAACAUUCUUGUCCUUCUCUAGUUUGAGAAAUGAAUAGAAAACAGCUUUCUGUGUAGUUUGAGACUUGCAGUUGAUUAAUCUCUAAUUCUGGCCCCCAACUGGCAUACUCUGGUUAACUGCUUCACUUGCACGUGGGUUUGUUCCUGUAGUGAUUUACAAAGUGCAGGAACAAAUGCAGUAGGUGCACUGUAUGUCACGUUGACAGUGCCUCAUGAUGUGCCCGUGCAUCAAACACAAAUGCAGAAACACUGCUGAUGUUGCCUUUCUGGGGGAGGCUUUGGUACGUCGGAGUAGUAGCCAACUUCAGUAUCAAGGCAGCGUGCACUUCUUAAGGCCAUUUACAACAAGGAUGAAGGAUUUUGUUUGUACUUGCUGCAGAAGUUGUAGCAAAUGCCAGACAAAUAUUCCUGUAUGUACUUAACUCAUUUUAAGAGCCUGCUCUUGGCACUGAAUUAAUCCACUGUCUGGUUGUGGAAAUAAAUAAAAAGCUUUGAGACAAUCAAACUUUCAUCUGCUCUAGGUGUAGUCACUCAUGUAUAACCUUUUGAGGACUAAUUUGUGAUGAGGCCUAAGCCGACAUUUAAACACAUUCAGGUCUGCUUUUCUCAGAGCAGAAAACUACCUGAAGGCUGAUGCUUAGAUCUAAGCCUCUAACAGCUUAUGAAGAGAUAUGCUGAUAAGUAACAUACCUUAGCAAAAUAUACCUUCUAGAUCUCUUUUACUAUAUGUAGAACAGCUUUGCAGUUUAAUGUCUUACUGUAUGCAAGCUUUUUUGUAUAAAUAACUGCAGCUAUGAAGUUCAGAUUUUUUAAUUUAUGUGCAGUUUUCAUUUUGUUUUUUCCUGUGCAGAGCUCUCAGUAAGGGGAGACUUGUCAAGAUAGUUGCCUUUAGCCAGCCUGUUGUGUGUGAGCAUGUACAGCACUGAUCUCAAGCAGAAAGACUGAACAGUAUUUGAAGUAACUGCUGAAGAAAGAAACCAAAACACGCUUUUUAAUGGGUAACCUACAGAAGAAGAUAAGACUAAAAGCCAUUAAUAGGUUAUCCCUAACCAGUAAAAAGGCACAGCUGCUGAAAGGAGGAAGAUCAGUGAAGAUUGUAAUUACGAACAACGCUUUGUUAAAGGAGCAAGCUACUUGCCAUGCAAACUUCUGAAAUGACUGUUGUGGCGUAUUUUAUCUCAAGUGAACUGAUGUUUCUUCAGCAUUCAGAAUUUGGUUAGCCUUCUGUUAUUAGACUCUGCACCAUUCCUUCAUUGGUAAUUAUUUCAGUCUAAAAGUCAUGAUCUUACUGCUGAUUAACCAGGAAGUAACUUGUAGGGAUCUUAGAGCACUGAAGAAAAUCUCAGGACCGUUAAAGAAGAUAAGGCUAUUCAAAAUACCACUUAUGUUUCAGCUGCUUGUUUUCAAUCACAUAACUCAAAAGAAAAGAGUUGAAUCCCAGCAGUACAGUAGCAAUACCCAGAUGCAGCUGAGAAAAGCAUGUUUUAUACUGGGUGUAAGUGCCAAAUAAAUACGCUGCGGAGUGCUGAUGUUACACAGGCUGCAUUUCUUCAAGAAGCCAUGUCACUCAUUCCUGAAGAUGCUAAUGUGGUGUACGUGAGAGGCUACUCACUUGUGUGAGGCAUGCUAAAUGUGGAUCUGGCAGGAAAUGCUCAUAUUAUAAUGAUUUUUUUCAAAGUUGGCAAUCUUAAAGCUUUGUCAGAACGUUGUUUCUCUGCACACAUGUAAGUCAUCUCUGCAUCAGAGAUGAAAUAUCAUAGAAUCAUAGAAUGGCCUGGGUUGAAAAGGACCACAGUGCUCAUCCAGUUUUAACCCUCUGCUAUGUGCAGGGUCUCCAACCAGCAGCCCAGGCUGCCCAGAGCCACAUCCAGCCUGGCCUUGAAUGCCUGCAGGGAUGGGGCAUCCACAGCCUCCUUGGGCAACCUGUUCCAGUGCCUCACCACCCUCUGUGUGAAAAACUUCCUCCUCAUAUCCAACCUUUCCUUUUUGUAACUGAGUACCAUUAUUUUAAAACUAUAAACUCAAUGUUUAUUCCUUUGAAUAAGGUUUAUAAUUAAAAUUCUUGGGUGAUAACUGUCAUGUUAAUACAUGCAAUCAGAGUGAUACUUUCCAACACAGUUCCCAGUACUACCUGAUGUUAAAUCUUUUUGCACUGAAACUGUCCCUGUGACAGUAUGCACCCAGUCUUUUCUUAAAAGGUUUAUUUGAUCCUUUGUGAAAAAUGCCAGCUCCCAAUACCAAAUCAUUAAACCUCCAUCUAUGAGGUACAAGUCUUUGAGAUGUGGGAACACAUUUGUGUAUACCCAGGUCAUAGGUGUGCAAACAGAAGUCUAAACCUUGUUAUGAGUAGGGCAUGAGUAGCUCACACCUUUCUUCUUGCCAAAAAGAGAAAUGAAAGAUGAAGAAAAUGCUCUAGAAAGUCCUGAGGAAAUGAACGCUCAGCCCAUCCAAAACAGGGAUUGCUGCUCCAGUCCUGAAUAGCUUUCCAGCCUGAUGUUUUUCUUGCCUCUUCAUGACGUCGUGUCUUAAGAGCAGCCUACCUGGAUCCCCUGGUUCCUGUUUCUUCCUGUUUCAAAAUUCUGCUCUCCCCACGUUUUACAUCCCAUACCUUAUGCCAUAUACACACACUGGGCUUGUGCUGCUUUUUUAAGUCUUCACUGUUUUUUCUGAGACUUUGGUUGGGUUCCAUCCAAGAUUCUCCACUUGACACUGUUCUCCUCAAUCCCCAGCCACAGUGAAGGUUUCUCCUGUUGAAUAUGUCAGUCAUGGUUUUUAGGCUUCAGGGAGACUGUCUGUUUUUUUUUUUUUCUGCUAUUUGACUCAUUGUAAGCAGAGUUUGAGGAAGAAGUUACAGUUCUUUUUGUUGCUCUUCUCAUAAAGCAAGUGUGGUAAAAGAGAACUUGUGGGUUGUUGGCAGGGGGGAGCUGAUAAGAAUCGUGAACAUAUUUAUCUUCUGCGUGUAAAGAAGAAAGCAAACCAAACACACACACACACACACACCCCAACACUUCUCAGAUGUGCUUAAAUUCAUGAGAUGUUUGUUCUGCCCCUUUCUAUCCUUAUUAGGAAAUGCAGUCGCAUGCUUCCAGGCUAAAUGUCCUUCUUUUUUCUUCUGUCAAGUGAUUUCUAUUUGUGUGCAAUUUGCAUAAUUCUGAGGACUUUUUCUGUGCCAGUGCUCAGCUGUGGAAUCCCUUACGCCUCACACCAUAAGAGGACCUCUUAUGAACAGAACAUGUUACAGACUCAACCAUGGUUUUUCUUCUGUAAAACACUCACAGAUAUCUUUGAGGAGGUUUGGUUGUGAAUGUCUUCAGUUGUCUGGUCACUUCUUUGCUAACUGAAUCUAAAUAAAUCCAAAGUGUUUGUGUGUGUGUUGCCCUCUGGUUGAAGUAGGGCAUUUGAGGAAUAAUACCAGCUUUCGUUUCUAGUCUUUGGAGUUCAUGUUGUAGCAGUUGCAGAUCUCCCUUAAGUUCCACAUGUGUCUGUAUGGUUUGUGUGAGUUCAAAGACUGCACCCUCAUAGCUGCUGUUUCCCUUGCUGUGGUUACUGGGAUGCAACAUGGAUUUAAAAUCAUAACUUCUCGUUCAGCUACAAUGCAGGAGCAUAUUAAGACAGCACUUUGAGCUACGGUGUGAAUUUCUGGAUGUGUAAACCACUCUUUCCUAUCGUUCUUCCUGUGUGAAACCUUUGGGGAAUGGGAGAACAUGCUGGGGUUUUCUUUGUUUGUUAAGUAAAGUUUUGUAUGGUGAAUCUUAAGGAUAUGUCCUCGCUUUUAAAAUAAAAUGGUAAAGCAGCUUGUGUGCAUGUGUGAAGUCUUGAAAUUAACUGAAAUCCUAUCUUACCUUGAAGCAUUUGUGUAAUUUAUAAAUACUUGGUGACUUCUGUUUUUGUUUUUGCAAUACUGGAUUGAUGUUACGAAUCCAUAUCAUGUGGCUGCCUGAUAUUUCCAUGGGAAUUCUCAUCAGAGGAGACCUCUCAGUGGUUUUAUAUUACUUUGUGUACUUCUGUAACAGAACUUUCCAAGUAAAAUACUGUAGUAGGUUGUUGGGUAAUGAAAUUACUGGAUACAUUGUAUUGUUUGAGAUCUUUACAAUGCUGAAACUUAAAAUAAUUGCUGUGAGUUAGCCUGGGAAUAAUUGCCUUUGUUGUUUUUUUGUG